CAGUAGCCACGGUAAUACGGAGGGUGCAAGCGUUAAUCGGAAUUACUGGGCGUAAAGCGCACGCAGGCGGUCUGACAAGUCAGAUGUGAAAUCCCCGGGCUUAACCUGGGAACUGCAUUUGAAACUGUCAGGCUGGAGUCUUGUAGAGGGGGGUGGAAUUCCAGGUGUAGCGGUGAAAUGCGUAGAGAUCUGGAGGAAUACCGGUGGCGAAGGCGGCCCCCUGGACAAAGACUGACGCUCAGGUGCGAAAGCGUGGGGAGCAAACAGGAUUAGAUACCCGUGUAGUCCCUGUCUCUUAUAC
rnacentral:rRNA from 1 species